UACGAAGGGGGCUAGCGUUGUUCGGAAUUACUGGGCGUAAAGCGCACGUAGGCGGAUAUUUAAGUCGGGGGUGAAAUCCCAGGGCUCAACCCUGGAACUGCCUCUCAUACUGGCGAUCUUGAGUCCGGGAGAGGUGAGUGGAACUGCGAGUGUAGAGGUGAAAUUCGUAGAUAUUCGCAAGAACACCAGUGGCGAAGGCGGCUCACUGGCCCGGUACUGACGCUGAGGUGCGAAAGCGUGGGGAGCAAACAGGG
rnacentral:rRNA from 1 species